AGCGUGAAAUGUUCUGGAAGCCACCAAGAUAAAAAGGCCACGCAAGCACGCAAGGGAGAUUCUAACCAGGUCCGCAGCAGCGAUAACAGUACGCAAGAAAAAGGAGGGGGGACUUAACAUUUGAUGGAUAACAAAGCACCUGGCCAGGAGGGUUCUUUGGAGCUAGCCCAUUUUAAUGUUGCAAAUGGGGUUGUACUGACUGAUGGUGAUGGAGCUGAGAAGUUCAGGUCUAAACUGAUUUCAAUUUCCUAUGCACAGUCG